AUUUGAGUUUCAACAACUUAACAGGCCAAAUUCCAAGGGCUUUGUUCACUAUGAAUUCUCUCAGAGACUUGUUUCUUGGAAAUAAUAGUCUAUCAGGUUCUAUUCUCAGCCAAAAGAGUGAAACUCUUCAGACCAUAGAUUUAUCAUACAAUUUACUAUCAGGAAACUUGCCUUCUUGGGUAAACUCAUGCUUAAAACUGAACUUUGUAGCUAACAACUUCACACCU